CUGCGUUCUGUGAUUGGCUGGUAGUUACAGCAGUCUCAAUACCUAAGACGGCGAGAACGGACUUGCGUUGGAUACAGUAACAAAAAAUUAACUAUUAUAUUAAAAUAUUUGAAUCCACACACACACCUACCGUUUGUCUUGUUACUCAAACAUCAAGAGGCCGAUAAUCAGUGUAGUGGUCCUCGUACAGCAAGCUGCUGACCACACAGCAAAGAUUUUACAGAGAACUAUACAAUAAUUCAUAUGUGGAAUUGUUUUAUUCAUUAUUAUAAUAAUUCAGAGCUUCAGAGUUUCUUUGAAGCUGAAGUUCUGCUGCCGAUUUAGAGUCUCGAUGACGGUCUCCUCGUGUCCUUUAAUUAAAACAUCGUUAGUUUUAAUGCACAAUGAUGGACAAUAAACAAGCUGCACUCUGCGGUUAUAGACAAUACGUUAAAGUAUUAACCGGUGAACAACAUCAGUCUCUGACACCACAUUAAAACUUUAUAGUACAGUUAUAUCUCAUGUAUAACCGCUACGGAGACGUGAAAACCAGCGGAGCAUUUCACAGAAGACUCGCCGAAAACAGGCUGCUCUGUGCGGGCUGAGAUGAGCUGACCGCCCGGUGCUGGAGGGUCUGACGUCCGUUAACUACACCUCACAUCUCCAUCCACGGAGCACAUUGUAACAACAAAAGUCGCUUAAACAACUAACUUCAGUCAUAAAAUUACAUUACUUAAAUAAAGUAGUAUUUAUAAACUUAAAGUUGUUUAUUUCCCCCUGUCUUUGUUGCCUGUUGCUGAGGUGAAAUGCAUUCUGGGAUAUUUGGCUCUCACAAGAACAGACGAGCCUGCUCCGAUGCAUGACGGGUAAAAUGGGCGGGGCGAGUCACAUCCAGGUAUUAUGACCGUUCUCGUCCAGAUGCGGACUUUAGAAUUGGAACAGUAAUUGGGCUGCGACUGAUGACGUUUCACGAGUCCACGAGAACAAAAGUCCACACAAGAACGCAUAUUGAGAAAGGGCCAGUGUCUGAUGUUGACUAGAUGUGUUAAAUAACUAAAUAUUAAUAUUACAAAUUAAGCCACACACACACUUCCCCUCUCUCUCUCAUGAUCAUUAGUGAUACAGAAUAAUGAGUGAUAAACAUAAAUGAACAUAAGAAUUAAGAAGGAAUGCUGUUUUAACCGCAGAAAUGCGUCAGUACAGUACACUGUUUUUCAAGUUCAUGUACGAUUGGUCAUAUCACCUGAUAAUCAAGCUCCCUGCGAAGGGUCAAUUGCAUGCUUAAAAAAGAGCAUAACGGUUAAAGCCCAGCCCAUUUCAAGACAACCCGACAACUUACGGGUUAAAUCCUUCAUACUUCCGGGUUAAGCCCCACCCACUUUCGGAUUAGGCCCCGCCCAAUCCGAGUACAGAUACGGAUACAGAUAAUUCAUAUGGUUCAACAGAUACAGAUAAUGCUGUACUCGCUCAUCUCUAUCAAUUAGUUAAUCCAAGAUGGUGUUAAUAUUUGAAGGGGCCUCGGGCCACUUUCUACUUAAAAAGUGGGUUAGGAUUAAGGGUUCCUUAAGUGUUUACAGAUUAUUAGACUGGGAACUUUGAUCCCCUAACUUGUGAGGAUGCUUGAAGAUGAGAAUUUCUGUUUUUUCCUGGCAUUCCACAACAUUGUGCCAAAUGUGGACGUACUGUUCAACCAGCUGCAGCUGCAGAAGAGAGACAUCAACCCUGUCUUCAUUAAAGGACUCGUCCAGAAGUUCACACACAACAUUUAAAUCAUCAGGUAAAUAACUAUAUUUGCUGAUAAACCUGUUGUUAGAAAGAGUUGCUCAGUCUGUUAAAUCCCAAAUGAGCCUCACAGUUAUAACAUUGCAAUGAUAUUUGUAGUAUAUUAGUAUUUUAAAAGAAAUAAGCUUAGAUUUCUUUAAAAAUUCAAAAAGUUCUUAAACACAAUUUGUAUGAUUUAGUUAUUUCCCAUGAGCUAAUGUUCUUUUCCAGAUUUUACAUAGGUUGUAUUUUUGAUUUUUUUAAACCACUAGUCAUAUACUUGACUUAGACAUAAGCAUGUGUCCAAUAUCAAUCACGUUUAUCAAACUAGUUUAAUUGCAUGUCUUUGUAUGUGAUACCAGCCAGGGAGCGGUUUGCAUUCACCCAGCACCGCAUCAGCGCAGGAGAGUGCAUGGGGAGUUGUUUCCACAACACAGUGUGAAGUUCCUUAAUUCAGCACUUGGAACAACGGUGGAGGCCUAUCCCAUCUUGAACCAGGCCAAGCUCAAAACAGAACUGUCCUUCAUCUAUGAGAACAGUUAGUUCAAGGCUUGCUGUGGUGCAGUUUCUAUGUACCAUGAAGAACAACCUUCAAAGCACCUUCAGAGAGACUCACUCUCCUGGGGGUCCUCAUCACCACACCCAUGACAACAUCUGAAUCCAAGAGAUGUUUCUCUACUUUGAAGAGGAUCAAAACCAAGGGAUUUUAAUUCAUGGCUUACUGAGUGGAUGGCCACAGUUUGAUGUAAUCAUCCAAAUAGUGAUAUUAUUAGACAAGUUAAUUUUUUGUGUGAAGAGGCUCAGCCUGUAAGAUAAUACAUUAUUUGAAUAAUAUAUAAUCUUUUCAAUGUGAUUCACAAUGCCUGUGAGCAAAUGUCCCUCCUGAGCUACUAUAGGUUCAGGUCAGCCUUGGUACCUCCUACUUCCUGGUUCACCAAUUAGACAGGCUGUAAAAGCUUCACAUAAUGAAGCUGUGUCAGCAUGCUUGUCCCUUUUGCUGUUGCACUCUGGCUUGAGAAUUCUGAGAGCAGCUCGUCAGGGCCCAGGUGCAGGAGGCUCAAAGUCCAGGCUGCGAUUGAGCGCUUGAGGCUCAACAGCGUGGCUACCCAGGUGGUGGUGAAGUAGACGGCCCCAAAAAUAGAAACGGCAAUGCAAAGUAGAUUAAAAAAAAAGAAGAACGCCUGACUGCGAUACACGGACCAAGAUUUUUGCUAUCACCUUUUUUAAAUUUCAAUUCUAUUACUGAACUUCAGGAUUUGGGGAAUAUUAAGAUGCCAACCAGGUGUAAAAUGUUUGACCUUUUGUGGAGUCACCCUGUGAGGUGAGGGGGGAAAGUAACCAUUCAUUUUGUUUAAUAUUGUAAUUUUUUUUUUUUUCUUCUUUUUACUCAUUUCAGUUUGUUCCAUAUGCUUUGGGCAAGAAACCUAGUGGUGGAGUACAAAAACGUCAGAGACUUGGGUUAUUAACACUACCACAGGGACCCAGCUCGUAUCGCCAAAGGAAAGCUUUUAAUGUUUUGAAUGGCUUGGUAGUCCAAAAUGAUGGUUCCUUAUGUUCUGUAGUUUGAAUUGUAUGUGCGUACCCUGUAGAAAUGCACUGUAAAUACACAUGUCUGUGGACAGUAAUUAAAACUGCUUUAAAGAACUGUCAUCUUGACUGAAAGUAAUUUUUGUUGCACAAUGACAAAUGGGAGUGUUCUAAAGAUUCAUUUUAAUGGAUAUUCAAAAUUGUACAAUGUAAUGUUGUUGUUGGAAUAUUGACUCUGAAAUUCAAACACUUCAAUGUUACCCCCACCCUCUAUGUUAGGGCCUUGGUGUUAAAAUGUAUUCCUUUUUUACAAUUCUACUGUGUACCUGGAUUGUAAUUUUUACUAAUAGAUUAAUGAAGUCAAUGUAUUCUGGAAUCUUGUAGGAACCACCUGCGAUUGCUGAUUAUGGGUGGUCGACCUCAAAUGAUGGAACCGUCCAGGUUAAAGGAAGCUUAUGGAUCUUGGGUAGCAGAUGGGCGAGGCUUGGGCUCUUUAUCGAGGUAUUUAUGUAAUGCUUGUCGUGCAGGCUGUGUAUGGCUGUUAAAAUGUCUUUACACCUCAACUGUUUGCUUCCAGUAUGUCCUUGUCUGUCUAACUUUUUGGGCUCCCUUUAUCUGCUGUUUAACUAUUUGCUGUUCAAUGUUUUAAGAAUGUGUGUAUUGCUGAUUAAUGUUGGUCUGUGUAAGGAGCUCUCAGUGUUGCCAAGAUUUUUCUUGCUGCGUUCCUUAUUUAUGUUGUGACUCGAAACAGGGUGGUCAAGAGAACAUGACGGGCUCCCUGAAGUCAAGCUAAUUCUGCCUCCUGUGAGAAGUGUAGAAAUGACCUCUGCCCUCCAGCUGACUUGGUUUUGGUGAGGUUAGUAUCUUUUCCUCAGUACUGUUUUGUAAUACUUGUUGAGCCGGCUGUUUGAUGGCUCUAAUAACAUGUGCCUCUAACUGACUCCCCAGUACUGCCUUUGUUAUGCUUUCAGGCAAAGUACUGUUGUGUUCUCUGGAUGGUCCUACAUCAACCUAAACGGCUCAUGCUUCAGGGCCUCCAAGAAGUGGUCCAGCAGCUUCAGCCUCCUGUGGACUGAGCCAUUUGAGCACAAGGUAAGACUUUUUUUUUUCUUCCCCCCAGUCUUUUUGUCAUUCAAGUUGUGGCACAACUUUCUGAUUCUAUUGUAUGGCCCAAAGAACUAUUUUGGCUCUUUGCACUGUAACAUGAAAUAGUAAAUGGCAAAAAAUUGGUACACAAGUCAUUUCUGCUGAAUUUGUUGCCCAUACUGAACGCAAAUUAGUAAAGAACUUUCUGCUGCGCAAAUUUAUGAAGCUAAUCAUUUCAAGAAACUUUUACUUGCAACGAUGAGGGAGGAGAAACUUCCCGAAGAUACUCCGCUGCAGGUAUGUGCAUUUUACUGCCGCAGACGUGAUUUCCGUUGAGGCGGACGCUAGAAGUGUGAAGAAAGCGCUGCUCAGUCCAGAAGGUAAGUUUCAGCUGCCCUUGCACGAUAAAAUGUUAGUUGAUUUAGCAAACUUACUCUGCAAUUUGCCAGUCUUUAACUGUUUGCGGUUAACUUGUUUUUAAAGUCUAGCUUGAAUGUUAACAGCUAGACUGUCGCAUGUGGAACCCUCUAAAAUUACAUUAAAUAUAAAUUGACUUUCAGCAGACUGCAUGCUUAAUAGGUUCAAUGAUGAUUUGUCAAUCUUCCAGGGUACCGCUUUAAUUCGUUAUAAAUGGUUUUUAUUUUUGUCUAUGGUACGGUAAUGCAUGAUUUUGAAAGAAGCAACCUCAUCAGGAAAAACUUUACUCUUUAUCACUUGGUUAGGCCUGACUCAAGUUAGCCAGGACCAGUCCUUGGUUAAGCUGUUGAAGGCCAACUGCCUGGCGACUUCUUAGGACACACCAAGCCCAUCUUACACCUUCCACAAUAAACCAAUGUUUUAAUGCACAUCACUAGUUCAGCUUCUUUCCAGGAGUUUUGUUUUCUCGCCUAGCAGGUCUCCAUAGAUCAUAGUUCUGUCUGUUCCUGACACCAGCUGCUGCCACCAUUAUUUUAAAUAAUAUUCAUAUUACUGUCAUCAUAUGCCAACAUCACCCUUUCCUAAAGUCUUUGCUCUCCCUCUCCACAGAAGCUUCUGUGGAUGGUGGUUCUGAUGGUGAUUGUCGUCACUGGAGUGGACCUGCCGUAGACUUGGCCUGCUGCUUGCAAUUAUUUGUAUCAUUUCUGUUACAGGAUUUGAAUGUAUUGUACAUCCUUUACAAUGUUAAUUCUAUACCCAUGCCAUUCAUUGCAGUAUUUCUAUCCUGGGAGAGGGAUCCUUCCAGAUGGUCUCACUAAGGUCUUUCCGCCCUAUUGAAGGAUUCAUUUGUGGAAGUUUUUUCUGUGUGAAUGCAAGCCAGGAUGCAAGGUGAUGACAUCUUGUCAAUGUUUCACAAAUUUUUCUGAAUGUUUAGUAAUGUCUUAUAACUUGCAGGAGAAGCCUUGUGAGAAUUUCCAUUGCACUGCAACCGAUGGCGAAUAGCUCACGGUAAGACCUGUUUCUUUUAGUUUAGUACAUGUCUUAAUUUAAUGUCCAAGAAUAAAAGCCUUUGACUGCAAGAAGUCGCAAACUUGUCAAUGUUUCAAG